rnacentral:rRNA from 1 species
UCGAACGCUGGCGGCAGGCCUAACACAUGCAAGUCGAGCGGAUGAAGGGAGCUUGCUCCUGGAUUCAGCGGCGGACGGGUGAGUAAUGCCUAGGAAUCUGCCUGGUAGUGGGGGAUAACGUCCGGAAACGGGCGCUAAUACCGCAUACGUCCUGAGGGAGAAAGUGGGGGAUCUUCGGACCUCACGCUAUCAGAUGAGCCUAGGUCGGAUUAGCUAGUUGGUGGGGUAAAGGCCUACCAAGGCGACGAUCCGUAACUGGUCUGAGAGGAUGAUCAGUCACACUGGAACUGAGACACGGUCCAGACUCCUACGGGAGGCAGCAGUGGGGAAUAUUGGACAAUGGGCGAAAGCCUGAUCCAGCCAUGCCGCGUGUGUGAAGAAGGUCUUCGGAUUGUAAAGCACUUUAAGUUGGGAGGAAGGGCAGUAAGUUAAUACCUUGCUGUUUUGACGUUACCAACAGAAUAAGCACCGGCUAACUUCGUG